CCUACGGGAGGCUGCAGUGGGGAAUAUUGGACAAUGGGGGGAACCCUGAUCCAGCCAUGCCGCGUGUGUGAAGAAGGCCCUCGGGUUGUAAAGCACUUUCAGUGAGGAAGAACGCCUGGUGGUUAAUACCCAUCAGGAAAGACAUCACUCACAGAAGAAGCACCGGCUAACUCCGUGCCAGCAGCCGCGGUAAUACGGAGGGUGCGAGCGUUAAUCGGAAUUACUGGGCGUAAAGCGCGCGUAGGUGGCUUGAUAAGCCGGUUGUGAAAGCCCCGGGCUCAACCUGGGAACGGCAUCCGGAACUGUCAAGCUAGAGUGCAGGAGAGGAAGGUAGAAUUCCCGGUGUAGAGGUGAAAUGCGUAGAGAUCGGGAGGAAUACCAGUGGCGAAGGCGGCCUUCUGGACUGACACUGACACUGAGGUGCGAAAGCGUGGGUAGCAAACAGGAUUAGAUACCCGAGUAGUC
rnacentral:rRNA from 1 species